GCCGGAGUGGUGAAAUGGCAGACACGCAGGAUUUAGGAUCCUGUGCCGUAAGGCGUGGAGGUUCAAAUCCUCUCUCCGGCA
rnacentral:tRNA from 4 species